rnacentral:tRNA from 1 species
GCGGGCGUAGCACAGUGGCUAGUGCAUCGGCCUUCCAAGCCGAAGACGGGGGUUCGAUUCCCCUCGCCCGCU